GAAGACUUUUAAAAUAGAGACCAACGUGGCCGGGCAGGAAGAGCAGGGUCCCGCCUUCAGGUGUUUGGGACUCAGCUGAGGGUGUGGGUGCCCCGCGGUGGGGGCUGAACCUUCCUGGGGUGUGGAGAGACGAAAGGAGCCCAGAUCCAAGUUCCCUCGUUCCCGCUUUGGCAUAAGUUGCCCUGGCGGUCUCAUGAGAGAGAGAAAGAGCUGGGACCCUCCUCGCCCCAUGUAACAUCAGACAAGGGUGUUGACUCUGCAGCACAGAACCAGUAGUUUGUGGAGAAGAAUGGAGGUGUGGUGUUGAAUCUGCUAGACAGGCUACUGAAGCAAAAGUCAAGAGAUCCAGAUUCCAUCAUGGGGACACUUUAGCUGUUGUAAAAAGGAUUGAGUUCUUGAUUGAUUCCCAGCUUGGUCAUUGGUGUAUAGCAGUGCUACUGAUUUGUUUACAUUCAUUUUGUAACCUGAGACUUUACUGAAUUCGUGUAUCAGAUCUAGGAGCCUUUUGGUUCUUCAUCGGGUAAUUGAGCUGAUAUCAGGUGUCUGAAGGAGGCAAGUUUUGAAGAUGUGGGUCAUGAUGGCUGCUGAAGCUUCCACUCCAUAUUUGAAGGUCAGCAGUUCUCAGGAAACCUCUAGCACUUCCAUCCCUGGUGGGAUGUGAUGCCUGUCUCAGUGUAACAUCAGAGAAGGGGUGUACUCUGUGCCCUAGAACUAGGAGCUAACAGAGAAAAACCAAAUGUGAUGUGGAGUCUGCUAGACAGGCUACUGGAGCAAGAGUGAAGCGAUGAAAGUCUCAUCAUUGGGACAUAUUAGGGAGGCAGCAGGUGGCUGAAAUCCUGGUGUGAUGUGGCUGGAUCAUGCAUGAUCUGAGGACUCCUGCACAGGUGACUGCAGGAUGAGUACAGAAUUUUUCUAUAAAUAUACUAAAAUACCAAGUAAGCCAGGAGCAGCCACUAGGCAAACACCAAACCUUGCAUUCCUGGCCAAACCUAUCACAGAGCUCAUCAGGUAAGUUCAAAGACACACCUGUCUUCCCAGCAUUGGGAACUGGAUUGGGGUCUACUCAGAGGCAUGAUGUUGACCAGAUUUUAUGAAACACCCAAGAAUGUAGAGAACAUUCUGUCUUUAAAACCUUGAAUUCAAAACAUAUCAGAGAGAGAUUUACUUCCCUUAUAUGGAUGUCUGUGUUCUCAUUAGGAGAGAAACAAUGAAAAAUGACUUUUCACAAUGCCUGCCUUAGCCGUGAGGCUCAGCCAACCCCCACUUCUAUGUCUCAGCAUUUAAAGGGCAAUUGAAGUCCCACUCCAUGCUAUAUACUCUCAAGAGGUUUUCUCAUUUACCCUUCAGAACAGCUCUGUAAAGAUGGUAUGGUCAGUCCCAUUUCACAGAUGACUAAGCUCAGGCUCACAGAGCCUAAGUCACCCCUCCAGGUAAGUGGCAGGGUUGGAAUGAGGUUCUAUUCCUCACCCUCCCUAGAGAACCCUGAGCAGCUUCCGUUUUAGAAGAUGGGUUUCCAGGGCUUGAGAAAUGGUCAGAUUCCCCCCUGAUAUUGUGGCCCCACAGGUCCUCACUCCACAACCCCUCUGGGUGAUGAGGAAGACAGAAGAGGUGAAAUCCUGCGCUUUGUGCCAUGAGAUCUGGGUGUAGGGCCACAGGAGUUAGCUAAUCCUUGAAGUGGUGAGUGGGCUCAGGCAGAAGCUCAAGUGUUGGCCUUGGGACAG
rnacentral:lncRNA from 1 species